rnacentral:tRNA from 1 species
GGAGAAAUGGCUGAGUGGUUUAAAGCAGCAAUCUUGAAAAUUGCCGAGCUAAUACUCCGGAGGUCCGAAUCCUUCUUUCUCCGCCA